GAGUGGAUAGACCUUGAACAGUGUGGUUGUUCUCCUGAUUUGCACUAAGAUGCUAGAGAAAAUGCUCCCUGUGCUUCCUGCCUGGGGAGUACAUGU